AGCUUUGUGCAGUGACAGUAUCAGAGCCAAUGAGGUUUAUCCAAGGUGCGAUUAUUGCUAAUUGAAAACUUUUCCCAAUACCCUGUCGGGACGACUUGAAAAUAGUGAGCAUUGGCAAUUUUUGACAGUUUCCACGGAAU
rnacentral:snRNA from 1 species